GUCUACGGCCAUAGCACCCUGAAUGUGCUCGUUCUGGUCUGAUCUCUGAAGCUAAGCAGGGUCGGGCCUGGUCAGUACUUGGAUGGGAGGAAUGGCUGUGGGAUAGCCGGCCAUCUGGGUU
rnacentral:rRNA from 1 species